rnacentral:rRNA from 1 species
GAUGAACGCUGGCGGCGUGCCUAAUACAUGCAAGUCGAGCGAACGGACGAGAAGCUUGCUUCUCUGAUGUUAGCGGCGGACGGGUGAGUAACACGUGGAUAACCUACCUAUAAGACUGGGAUAACUUCGGGAAACCGGAGCUAAUACCGGAUGAUAUUUUGAACCGCAUGGUUCAAAAGUGAAAGACGGUCUUCCUGUCACUUAUAGAUGGAUCCGCGCUGCAUUAGCUAGUUGGUAAGGUAACGGCUUACCAAGGCAACGAUGCAUAGCCGACCUGAGAGGGUGAUCGGCCACACUGGAACUGAGACACGGUCCAGACUCCUACGGGAGGCAGCAGUAGGGAAUCUUCCGCAAUGGGCGAAAGCCUGACGGAGCAACGCCGCGUGAGUGAUGAAGGUCUUCGGAUCGUAAAACUCUGUUAUUAGGGAAGAACAUAUGUGUAAGUAACUGUGCACAUCUUGACGGUACCUAAUCAGAAAGCCACGGCUAACUACGUG